GCGCCGCAUCUGUCACAGUUGGUAAACCCUAAUUCUCGACAGGGCAUCGCUUCUUUUCCAAUGUUGGACAAAAGUAGCGUUAGGAUCCAAGGGGAGCUAGAGAAUUUGUGUUAAAUGUUGAUAACAUGUUGAUCGUUCAUAGGAUUAAGUAAGUUACACCAUUGUUCGAGAAAACAUUGAGUGCAACUGAAACUGGGAAGAGUGGGCUGCCAAAAAAAUGUGCAGAGAAGUUUAACUGUGGUACAAAACCCACCAGUGACAUUUGAGGUCCAGCUGCUCUGAUGGUGAGGGGGAAAAGAAACUGCAGAAUUAACUUCUGGGCCUUUUCUUGUUCACGAUAUCGCCAAAUGAUAUCACGGAUGGGAAAGAUUGGCGUUUCAAUCUAAGAACCUGGCCGAAUAAUAUCAGCAGGAUGUACUUCCUGAAAAGUUUCGAGCCGUAUGUUCGAUCAAUGAAGGUGCCACCCGAUAAUACCAACUGCGGAAGAUUUGCUACAACUGAAGUUGCAUGUUGAAUUGAAGCUUAGUUAAAGUUUAAACAAGACUAUUUACAAACGUUUUUGAAGACACGUUUUAAUGGCAAUUCAGAAUCGAUCAGAGAGUUGGUUGUGAUGAUUGGUUCAAGAUUUUCGAGAAAGAUACACCC